AUAACGCUGGAAAGCAUUUUGCCUCUUAUCAGCUCCGUCAGCGUCGCGUAGAUUGCCGACACAGCUCUUAGAGACAGGUACAACUACCCAGACGGGGCAUUGUAUCUUAAGCCACUAUCUCACAGCCCACCUGCAGCCAAUUAACGGCCCUUUCUACGUCUAAGUGGAAGUGCAGAUAAUAAGCUAAAGCUGUUGCCUAGAGUCUCGCGUGCGUCUGUAUGCAUGUGGGUGAGUAUGUAAGUGUGUGCGUGUGUGUGUGAAUAACAUGCUAAUCAGCGGCUGUAUGUGAACUCAAUUAUCAACCUUUGCACUGACAUUCCAGCACGUUAUCAAAACGAUAUAAAUAUAGAGAACCACCGACGAGAAUUUUCUAAGCAAAUGACGAGUGCAGCCUGAAAAGAUAUUUCACAGUGAGCGCAAGCAGAACUCGACCGCCUUUGCGAAUGCUUUAAUUAUAGUCGGAAUCAGUGCAAAAAUACUUAUGCCAUAAACGCUUGAUAAGGAGAGUUCCAGCGAUAAGCAAAGCACGAAACUACGUCACGUCCCUGAACUUGACAUACACAAGCGAGUGUUACGCCAAUCUAGGACGCACCUCGGCUGGGUGGCAUUGGCAACAGAGACUUAAUUUGAAUUAAUUAAUUUAGCACAGUUUGUUAGUCAGUUCACGGUGACUGAUCGAAGACGCAUCAAAAGUGAAUCCAGUGAAAGCAGGCACUUUUUUUACGGAAGAACUCUAAGAAGAACUCUAGCGCCUGCUAAGCGACCUAUAAUUACCAGCUGGAAAACUUCCACUCUCUUUUAGUCGAAUGACUUGCUAAUCAAAUUGCCAUUUAUAGCGUAUCAAAUAAUUGGUUCAUAAUCUUAUCACAAAUUUAAAUAUUCGUGCACUACAGUUAUUUACCACAUUCAUAUUUAACUUGGCUAAAAGUUCCACAAAUACUGUUUAUCUUUUAUCGCCAAUAUAAAUCGGUAAAUUAAAAAUAUUUGACUUAAAAUAUCAGUGCGGUUUAUGGCUGUGCGUUGCUAGAAAGAACAACUAUCUUUUCCCUGCCGAAGACUAAAUCCUCAUUCACCCGACCGACUGUUUCUAUUGGAGCCAUUUUGAGAAGGUUUUACAGAUAUUUAAUAUAUAUUGAAGUUCGUGAGUGCUGUGUUUGGUAGAGAUUUAAUCAAAAACAGAAAACUAUUCUAUA